AUUAAUUUUAAUCUUACAUUGUUUAGUCAUCUGUUUUGGUAGAAGCAACAUCAUAGCUCAUCCUAUCCUUCCCCAACCCCCAUGCAAGUUGGGUUAGUUUUUCCUUAAAAAGUAUUGAGACCAUCCUUUCAAUUUGUUCAUCUCAGGGGGCUAAAGACUGAGACUAUUGAUGCUGCUCCUCAUCACCUGAAGAACUACAGAACUUUGAUGCUUGACUGGUACAUCAUGAUGGCAAACGUAGUCAAGAGAACUUCACUUAAAGAAACUCAAGGUACUAUGCUAAGAGCUGGGACUACAAAUGCUGGAAAAGAAACUUCCUGCCCCAAAAGAACUAACAAUCUAAUGGGAGAAGACAAUACACAAAAGGAAGCCAAAUACCCAGAGCAGGAGCAUGAUGGAGAAGGCCAAAGGAAUGUAGCUGGAUGGAAAAUAAAGAGAUGGCUGACCUAAACACCCUCCUUAAAUGGAGGACUUUCCUUCAUGAUUUAUGGCUACUAGUUUAACACUAUUCUUUUGUUAUCCCUCCCACUUGUUACUCAUCUGUUUUUCUGGUCAUACCUGUCCUUAUUAAUGCCUUCUUUACUGCUUCUUGGUGUAAUUAGAGAAAAGGAAAAUAGAUCCUUUGAAAUAAGGUUUAAAAAAAAAAACAGUUCAUUAAGCAGAGAGAUGAGAAUUGGGACAUUUUUUUAAAAUUUCAAGGAUUAUAAAGCAUUUCUAAGAGUACUGUUGAUCAAGCAAGUAGGAAAUAAGCAUUUAUUAGGUUCUUACUAUGUGCAGCUAGGCGGUCCAGUAGAAAGAG
rnacentral:lncRNA from 1 species